UCCAGACUCCUACGGGAGGCAGCAGUGGGGAAUAUUGCACAAUGGGGGAAACCCUGAUGCAGCGACGCCGCGUGGGUGACGAAGUAUUUCGGUAUGUAAAGCCCUAUCAGCAGGGAAGAAAAUGACGGUACCUGACUAAGAAGCCCCGGCUAACUACGUGCCAGCAGCCGCGGUAAUACGUAGGGGGCAAGCGUUAUCCGGAUUUACUGGGUGUAAAGGGAGCGUAGACGGCAUGGCAAGUCAGAUGUGAAAGCCCGGGGCUCAACCCCGGGACUGCAUUUGAAACUGUCAGGCUGGAGUGCAGGAGAGGUAAGUGGAAUUCCUAGUGUAGCGGUGAAAUGCGUAGAUAUUAGGAGGAACACCAGUGGCGAAGGCGUCUUACUGGACCGAAACUGACGUUGAGGCUCGAAAGCGUGGGGAGCAAACAGGAUUAGAUACCCCUGUAA
rnacentral:rRNA from 1 species